rnacentral:rRNA from 1 species
AUUGAACGCUGGCGGCAUGCUUUACACAUGCAAGUCGAACGGUAACAGGCCUUCGGGUGCUGACGAGUGGCGAACGGGUGAGUAAUGCAUCGGAACGUGCCCAAUCGUGGGGGAGUAACGUAGCGAAGUUAACGCUAAUACCGCAUAAGCCCUGAGGGGGAAAGGUGGGGCCGGCGAAGGCCUCACGCGAAUGGAGCGGCCGAUGUCAGAUUAGCUAGUUGGUGGGGUAAAGGCCCGACCAAGGCGACGAUCUGUAGCGGGUCUGAGAGGAUGAUCCGCCACACUGGGACUGAGACACGGCCCAGACUCCUACGGGA